GCCUCGGUGGUGUAGUGGUAGAGCACGCGUUCCCGGUUAGGAUGAAACGGGGUUCGAUUUCCCCCUGAGGCC